AGAGCGAACGCUGGCGGCAGGCUUAACACAUGCAAGUCGAACGGACCUUUCGGGGUUAGUGGCGGACGGGUGAGUAACACGUGGGAACGUGCCUUUAGGUUCGGAACAACACAGGGAAACUUGUGCUAAUACCGGAUAAGCCUUUCGAGGGAAAGAUUUAUCGCCUUUAGAGCGGCCCGCGUCUGAUUAGCUAGUUGGUGAGGUAAAGGCUCACCAAGGCUACGAUCAGUAGCU
rnacentral:rRNA from 1 species